rnacentral:lncRNA from 1 species
GGCGGCUGGGGGAGGGGCUGCUGGAGGGGAACCACAGCAACGCCUCCUGGACCGUCACCUCCAGCUCUGCGGGGCCCUGGGCCAACAGCUCCCUGAGCCUCAGCGGGCCGCUGGUCUCUGGCCUCAGACUCAGCUGCGAGGCCGGGAACGCACACGGGUCCCAGAGCGCCGCUAUCCUGCUGCUGCCAGGUCCGGGGUCUGCUGGGGGGGUGACGCCGGGAGGAAGAGGAACUUGGCUUUUGUAUUAAUUUUCUAGGGAUGAUGUGACAAAGUGCCUUAAACUGGGCGGCUUAGACAGUGCAGAUUCACUGUCUUGCAGUUUUGGAGGCUGGAAGCCUAGGAUCAAGGUGUCUGCAGAUCAGUUCCUUCUGAGGCUGUGACAACAUUGCCCAGCCUCUCGCCUAGCUUCGGGUGUUUGCUGGCAAUCUUCGGUGUUCCUUGGCUCGUGGAAGCAUCACCCUAAUCUCGGCUUUCGUGUUUACAUGGCAGCCUCCUGUGUGUGUGUGUGUCCAAACAUCCCCAUUUUAUGAGGACACCAGUCACAGUGGGUUACGGCCCACCGUGGCCAUCCCAUCUUCACUUGAUUGCCUUUGUAAAUACCCUGUUUCCAAAUGAGGUCACUUGCUGAGAUCCUGGGGCUGGAAGGGUGUGGCAAAGGGCUGGGACUUCCGCAUAUGAAUUUGGUGGGGGACACAAUUCAACCCAUAACAGCUCGGGAGAGAUGGGGCUGGUGGGGGAGAACACUGAGGCCCCAAAUGGAGCAGCUGGACGUUUAAGAUCCUCAGUCCUGAGGCCAGGGGAAGGGGCUGGUCCAGGGUUCACAGGGCAAUGGAAUCCACCUGACUGAGUCCUGGAUGGGGAGUGGGUAUACAGAUGGGAGAAAGAGGAAGGGAGGCGGCCAGUUGGAACGUGCCAUAUAUUAGAGCUGGACCUUACACGCCCCUCACAUUUUCUGCAGGUAAACCAGAACCCAGGGCCAGUGGAGUCCUGGGAGCAGUUGGGGGAGCUGGCAUCAUGGCCCUGCUUGCCCUCUGCCUUUGCCUCGUCUUCAGAGUGAAGACCUGCAGGAAGAAAGCAGUCAAGCCGGUGCGAAGCCUGAAUCUGAACCUAGCCGGCAGCGCAGGCUCUGGGGUGAGUGACAGGCUGUGAGCUCCUGUCCAGCCAGGGGCUUUUGGAAGUCGCCCUCGUGAGGGCACCGGAGCAUUUCGCUAUUAACGUCCAGUACUCCCUGGAGUUGCCCAUGUGGUUAUUUUAAAUUCCUGAUUCCACUGGUCUAACGCUUCUGCUUCUGAUGGAAUGCGCAUAUAGGCCGGUUGCUUGUGGGGGUAUGUAUGCCUCCUACGUCAAAGUACCACGUUCCCCUGGAACACGAGCCUUUUCUUGUGGCGUUGAUUACCCAGAAGUGCAAUGGCCUAAACACAGUCUGUGUCAGACCCACUGAGUGCGAGGGAGGUGGUGGACUGGAGCCCUAGCGUAGAGAGACUGGGAAACCCCAAACUCACACCGCAUCGCUCCCACUUUGCAUUUUUCAAAUCUACCACUGUGCGUAUUUACCAUCAACUUUACUUUUCACCUAAUAAUGCACCCAUUUUAAGUGUGCAGUGAAAUGAAUUUUAACAGACGUGUUCACCCUGUGCCCAUGUCCCCAGUCAAGCCGUGGAACGUUUCCAUCAGGUCCCCAGAUUCCCUCGUUCCCCUGCCCAGUCAGCUUGGGCUUUCCAGCAAUCUCUCAUUUCUAUCACUAUGGAUUAGUUUUGUCCCUUCUGGAACUUCGUAUAAAUGGAAUCGUGCAAUAUUUAUUCUCUUUGUCUGGCUUCUAUCACUUCAUUAAAAGAUGUAAAAAUCCUAUCCAGUAUGCCUCCAAUAACAGAGCAUCGUUCAUCAAAACGGGUGUAUGAAAACUGACAGAACAGCAGGGAGAACAGAUUGGCAGUUACAGUUGAUGAUUUCAAAACUCUUCUCACGGUCACUAGCAGAACAAGUACGCACAAAAUCAUUUUUAA